rnacentral:rRNA from 1 species
GUGGGGAAUAUUGGACAAUGGGCGAAAGCCUGAUCCAGCCAUGCCGCGUGAGUGAUGAAGGCCUUAGGGUUGUAAAGCUCUUUCAGUAGGGAAGAUAAUGACGGUACCCACAGAAGAAGUCCCGGCUAACUUCGUGCCAGCAGCCGCGGUAAUACGAAGGGGGCUAGCGUUGUUCGGAUUUACUGGGCGUAAAGCGCACGUAGGCGGAUCGUUAAGUCGGGGGUGAAAUCCUGGAGCUCAACUCCAGAACUGCCUUCGAUACUGGCGAUCUUGAGUCCGGAAGAGGUGAGUGGAACUCCUAGUGUAGAGGUGGAAUUCGUAGAUAUUAGGAAGAACACCAGUGGCGAAGGCGGCUCACUGGUCCGGUACUGACGCUGAGGUGCGAAAGCGUGGGGAGCAAACAGGAUUAGAUACCCCAGUAGUCC